UGCGGCAACCGACGUACUCACUCUUAGUGCUCCUGACAACGCCCACAGAAAUCCCUAUCAUUUUACUUGCCUGCACAUGCAGAAAUGAAGAAUGUAGAAGAACUUCAGUAUGGCUAAAGUGGUGGCAUUUCCAGCUGGGUAAAACUAGGAAGGGAUUUCAGAGUGGUUGCAGGAGGACUAGGGAGUGAAUGUGGAACCAAUAGGAAAUGAGCACCAGGCUCCCAGAAAAAUGUAGUGAAGCUGCUGCCAUUCUACAUUUGCCCCGGAUGGAACUCCGUGAUACCACCUCGCUUCACGAUAUUUCACAUUGCCUGAUGGAACCCAAAGAAACCAGCUUUAUUUCUGUGCCAUUUCUCAGUGAUUAAACUUCAAACUUCAAAACCAAGA
rnacentral:lncRNA from 1 species